rnacentral:rRNA from 1 species
AGUCACUGACAUUAGAUACCCGCGUAGUCCAGGGUGUAAACGCUGCCGACUUGGUGUUGGAGGCCCUUCGGGGGCAUUCAGUGCCGGAGAGAAGUUGUUAAGUCUGCUACUUGGGGAGUACGUCCGCAAGGAUGAAACUUAAAGGAAUUGGCGGGGGAGCACCGCAACGGGAGGAGCGUGCGGUUUAAUUGGAUUCAACGCCGAAAAACUCACCAGCAGCGACUGUUACAUGAAAGUCAGGUUGAUGACCUUACUAGAUUUUCAG